rnacentral:lncRNA from 1 species
GUGUAAUCGGCAUUAUCACUACAACAACAAAAAAGCGCAAGUUAGUAAAACCCACGCUAUCGGAACCCCGCUCAACAAAUAAGUACCCAAAUCAUGCGAAAGUAAGGAAGUGUUCUUUACUACUAACUCCUGAUGUUACGUUGUCGGCCGCCAACGUAACCCUCCGCGAAGUUAGAAGCUAUACCUUCGAUCAACUCCAACAUUUUUAGAGUUAUCACAAAACCCAAUCAUAAUAUUUUCGCUUACAAAUCAAAUAGACCUCGUUUCUCACGAGCCUAUUUCCUAUAGUCCAACCGGCCUAAGGUUUGCUAGGUCCACUAAGACUCAACCCUAGACUCUGAUACCAAAUUAAUCUGUCACGCCCCGGGACCGGCGGAGGCCCUCCCGGUAGCAUGCCCAGACCCGCCAUAUGCCUGCACAUAUAAGGCGUCUACAACAAUAGCGAUAAUAAUAAGGAUAAACAAGUAUCUAGAGAUAUCAGAGCAAGUAACAGC